CGUAGGGUGCAAGCGUUAAUCGGAAUUACUGGGCGUAAAGCGUGCGCAGGCGGCUUUGCAAGACAGAUGUGAGAUCCCCGGGCUUAACCUGGGAACUGCAUUUGUGACUGCAUGGCUAGAGUGCGGCAGAGGGGGAUGGAAUUCCGCGUGUAGCAGUGAAAUGCGUAGAUAUGCGGAGGAACACCGAUGGCGAAGGCAAUCCCCUGGGCCUGCACUGACGCUCAUGCACGAAAGCGUGGGGAGCAAACAGGAUUAGAUACCCUGGUAGUCCACGCCCUAAACGAUGUCAACUGGUUGUUGGACGGCUUGCUGUUCAGUAACGAAGCUAACGCGUGAAGUUGACCGCCUGGGGAGUACGGCCGCAAGGUUG
rnacentral:rRNA from 1 species